AACGAACGCUGGCGGCAUGCCUAACACAUGCCAGUCGAACGAUCCCUUCGGGGAUAGUGGCGCACGGGUGCGUAACGCGUGGGAACCUGCCCUUAGGUUCGGAAUAACUCAGAGAAAUUUGAGCUAAUACCGGAUAAUGUCUUCGGACCAAAGAUUUAUCGCCUUUGGAUGGGCCCGCGUUGGAUUAGCUAGUUGGUGGGGUAAAGGCCUACCAAGGCGACGAUCCAUAGCUGGUCUGAGAGGAUGAUCAGCCACACUGGGACUGAGACACGGCCCAGACUCCUACGGGAGGCAGCAGCGGGGAAUAUUGGACAAUGGGCGAAAGCCUGAUCCAGCAAUGCCGCGUGAGUGAUGAAGGCCUUAGGGUUGUAAAGCUCUUUUACCCGGGAUGAUAAUGACAGUACCGGGAGAAUAAGCCCCGGCUAACUCCGUG
rnacentral:rRNA from 1 species